rnacentral:rRNA from 1 species
AUUGAACGCUGGCGGCAGGCCUAACACAUGCAAGUCGAACGAGUGGCGGACGGGUGAGUAAUGUCUGGGAAACUGCCUGAUAGAGGGGGAUAACUAUUGGAAACGGUAGCUAAUACCGCAUACCAUCCGAUGUGCCGAGAUGGGAUUAGCUAGUAGGUGGGGUAACGGCUCACCUGGGCGACGAUCCCUAGCCGGUCUGAGAGGAUGAAGAGCCAAACGGGAACGGAGCCACGGCCCAGCUCCCGACGGGAGGAAGCAGUGGGGAAUAUUGCACAAUGGUCGCAGUCCGGAUGCAGCCAUGCGGGGUGGUUAAAGAAGGCCUUGGGGUGUAAAACUACUUUCAGCGGGGAGGCGUUACCCGAAUAGAAAGCAACGGCUAACUACGUGCCAGCAGCCGCGGUAAUAC